AAUCAACGCUGGCGGCGUGCCUCAGACAUGCAAGUCGAACGCGAAAGGCCCCUUCGGGGGCUGAGUAGAGUGGCGCACGGGUGAGUAACACGUAGGUAAUUUGCCUUCGGGUGGGGAAUAACAGCCGGAAACGGCUGCUAAUACCGCAUAAUGCAGCGGCACCACGUGGUGACAGUUGUUAAAGCGGGGGAUCCUUUGGGGACCUCGCGCCUGAAGAGAAGCCUGCGGCGGAUUAGCUAGUUGGUGGGGUAAUGGCUCACCAAGGCGACGAUCCGUA
rnacentral:rRNA from 1 species